UUCAAUACUGUUUUGUACGUGACCCGUCUUCGUUUGAUACCCUUACCGCCAUCUAGCGAGCCCAGUCGAUAACAACAUGGUCCGGGUUGCUAGAUUAAAAAUAAUUUCGGUGCCUUCCUACAUUUUUGUUUAUUUUUUUAAUCGAAAGGGGUUUGUAAAUUAAAAUUGUCUUCAUAUAUUGUUUUUUCUUUCUAUUUAAUAUUAGUCCAAAUAAAGUAAAGAAGAAAGGUAAUGUUUUCUUUUCAAAGUCACCUAGGAUCGCACGAAUCCAGUUCGGGCUGUGGCAACUCUGCCAUUUGACUUGUCAUUAUUCUUCCUGUCAAAAUGAAGAUCGUGGACCGUUUUCUUUUGCGGUGUUUCGCCGUAUGAAAGCCGUUUAAUGGCUAUAAUACAUCCCAUCGGGAGACAUCUCCUUUUUAAGUGAGUAUUUUGGUGAUUUUUGCGACGGGUUUUGUGCAUAAGAUUCCAUUUAAUAGCGUGGUGAAUUUUAUUUCACAGUCCCGGAUUUUUAUCCUAUAUGGAAGUCGUGUGAGACGAUGGUGUGUUGGUGGAGGCCUCAUCGAGUCGACAUGCUGGUCAAUCCCGGCCACGUAUGCCGCUUCUCCUCGAUGGGGCCUACCACUUAGUCUACAGUUUGGCUGUAAGGCAGCCCCCAGCCAGCUUGGUGUACCGGCGGUCGGGGCCUGUUCGCUAUUACUACAACUACCAUGGAUGCAGAGGCACUGCGACAUGAGUCUCCAUUAGUGUGUCGGCAGUGGUACCUUCCUUCUAAUGUCACUACUUAAAAGGUCAGAGACAACCAAUUUAUUAUAUUCUCCAAGGCGCCCAACUUACUUUAAAUAAUUUUCCUUAUUUUUUAUACCACGUACCCAGAGUGCCCAACCAUAAGAAAUGUAGCCGCCAAACCCACAUUUGCUCUCAUAUUUUUAGUUAAGUCUGUAGUAAGCUAGCCGAGGCUAUUUAAUAUAUUAUAAUGUCAUAAGUUAACAUUUGACACUUCUAAACUUAGAUAUUUGUCGUUUAGUCAAAUAAAUGUAUUAUAAGUAA